CGCCAGAAGAUCAAUAUCUAUCGUACAUGGUUCUUGCCUUUUACCAGAACCAUCCGGGUAUUGUCUUUAUAUGGUGCUCGCUAUUUUUUGGAACCUUCUCAUGAUGCUU
rnacentral:snRNA from 21 species